GAUGAACGCUAGCUACAGGCUUAACACAUGCAAGUCGAGGGACCGGCGCACGGGGGAGUAACGCGUAUCCAACCUACCAAAUACUCAGGCAUAACCCGUUGAAAGACGGACUAAUUCCUGAUGGUCUUGGGGGCUGAUGCGGCUGAUUAGUUUGUUGGUGAGGUAACGGCUCACAAAGACUUCGAUCAGUAGGGGUUCUGAGAGGAAGGUCCACCACAUUGGAACUGCGACACGGUCCAAACUCCUACGGGAGGCAGCAGUGAGGAAUAUUGGUCAAUGGAUGCAAAUCUGAACCAGCCAAGUAGCGUGCAGGAUGACGGCCUAUGGGUUGUAAACUGCUUUUAUGUGAGAAUAUGUAUCACAUGAAUAAGGACCGGCUAAUUCCGUGCCAGCAGCCGCGGUAAUAC
rnacentral:rRNA from 1 species